rnacentral:rRNA from 1 species
GAGCUAAGCAGUCUACGAGGCGACGUACGAGGUAGCCGCGCCUGAGAGGGCGAACGGCCACACUGGGACUGAGACACGGCCCAGACUCCUACGGGAGGCAGCAGUGGGGAAUAUUGCGCAAUGGGCGAAAGCCUGACGCAGCGACGCCGCGUGAGGGACGAAUGCCUUCGGGUUGUAAACCUCUUUCAGCAGGGAUGAAGCGAAAGUGACAGUACCUGCAGAAGAAGCACCGGCUAACUACGUGCCAGCAGCCGCGGUAAUACGUAGGGUGCAAGCGUUGUCCGGAAUUAUUGGGCGUAAAGAGCUCGUAGGCGGCUUGUCACGUCGGAUGUGAAAAUCCAGGGCUCAACCCUGGACCUGCAUUCGAUACGGGCAGGCUAGAAUUCGGUAGGGGAGUCUGGAAUUCCUGGUGUAGCGGUGAAAUGCGCAGAUAUCAGGAGGAACACCGGUGGCGAAGGCGGGACUCUGGGCCGAUAUUGACGCUGAGGAGCGAAAGCGUGGGGAGCGAACAGGAUUAGAUACCCUGGUAGUCCACGCCGUAAACGUUGGGCGCUAGGUGUGGGGAACCUUCCACGUUCUCCGUGCCGCAGCUAACGCAUUAAGCGCCCCGCCUGGGGAGUACGGCCGCAAGGCUAAAACUCAAAGGAAUUGACGGGGGCCUGCACAAGCGGCGGAGCAUGCGGCUUAAUUCGACGCAACGCGAAGAAACCUUACCAAGGCUUGACAUAUAGGGAAAUCUCACAGAGAUGUGAGGUCCGCAAGGGCUCUAUACAGGUGGUGCAUGGGUUGUCGUCAGCUCGUGUCGUGAGAUGUUGGGUUAAGUCCCGCAACGAGCGC